rfam:Gossypium raimondii Chr02_contig_147, whole genome shotgun sequence.
CACGUCAGCGCGCUUUACUGACGUGGAAACAAAUCGCGUUCAUGAGGGGGCGAUUUGUUGCCACGUCAGCAAAGCGCGCUGACGUGG